rnacentral:rRNA from 1 species
UACGUAGGGGGCAAGCGUUGUCCGGAAUCAUUGGGCGUAAAGAGCGUGUAGGCGGUCCGAUACGUCCGCUCUGAAAGCCCGGGGCUCAACCCCGGGAGGCGGGCGGAUACUGUCGGGCUAGAGUCCGGAAGAGGCAAGUGGAAUUCCUGGUGUAGCGGUGAAAUGCGCAGAUAUCAGGAGGAACACCGAUGGCGAAGGCAGCUUGCUGGGACGGUACUGACGCUGAGACGCGAAAGCGUGGGGAGCAAACAGG